UCCCUUCCAAAAGCACUUGCUUUGUCUGCUCAGUGGCUGGGUGAGUUGUCGUAGAAGGGAAUAUUAGACACAUCACUGUGGGUGAGAUGGCAGUGAUGCUGUGGCUGUCUGAUCUCAAUCAGCGAUGAUACAACU
rnacentral:snoRNA from 1 species